CACGUAGGGUGCGAGCGUUGUCCGGAAUUAUUGGGCGUAAAGAGCUCGUAGGCGGUGUGUCGCGUCGGCCGUGAAAACCUGCAGCUUAACUGUGGGCUUGCGGUCGAUACGGGCAUCACUGGAGUUCGGCAGGGGAGAGUGGAAUUCCUGGUGUAGCGGUGAAAUGCGCAGAUAUCAGGAAGAACACCCGUGGCGAAAGCGGCUCUCUGGAACGGUACUGACGCUGAGACGCGAAAGCGUGGGGAGCGAACAGG
rnacentral:rRNA from 1 species